rnacentral:lncRNA from 1 species
GUGGCAGAAUUGUAAUAAAAGUAAGACAUAUUAUGAUGUAGUUAUGUAUAUCAAUCAUAAUAUAAAACGCGGUGGCAAACUUGUAAAUAAAUUUAAGACAUAUUAUCACGUAGUUUUCUAUAUCAGUCAUAAUAGAAAAACGCAGUGGCAAACUUGUAAAUAAGUUCAAAAUUAUUAUAUAUAUAGAUAUACAUUAUAAUAUGUUAAAAUUAUAAUUCUAAUUUUAUCUCUUUCAUGUUACCUCUCACUAUCACACUCUCGGCCCUUCUCAUCACUUUCACGUUCCCUCUCACUCACACUCUUGAUCCUUUCAUGCUCUCUUCCUCUCUAAAAUUAGGUUUUCUUGCUUUUCUUGUCCCCUGUCGUGCUUUUCCUGAUCUGAGAACACUCCUCCUCCGCGACGGGCAAGGGGCCGCCACAUCCACAACCG